GAAAAUUUAGUUAAUUUAUAAUAUUAGCUUGUCAUGCUAAAGUUGCUUUUUAAGUAAUUUUCU
rnacentral:tRNA from 1 species